UUUUAGGUGAAACAGUAUUAUUCGUUUUUGGACAAUUGAACUGAAUAAACUGCUGCCAUGUCUGAUGAGGAGUCAAAAUCCAGCAUUGAACCUGAGCAUACUCGGAAGCUCUUCAUUGGAGGCUUGGAUUAUUCCACCACGGCUGACAAACUGGAGGAACAUUUUAGCCAGUUUGGCACAGUUGUGGAUGUAGUAGUCAUGAAGGAUCCUGUGACAAAGCGAUCAAGAGGAUUUGGCUUUGUUGCUUUUCUCAAGUCAUACAUGGUGGAUAAAGCUCAGGCCAAUCGUCCUCAUGAAAUUGAUGGCCGUCAGGUGGACACUAAAAGAGCUGUUCCUCGUGACGAGAUUGAGAAACCAAAUAAAAAUGGCUGCCGUAAAAUUUUUGUUGGAGGAAUUAAAGAGGAAGCUGAGGAAGAGGAUCUGAGAGAAGCAUUUGGGGUCUUUGGAGAUGUCUUAAUGGUCAGCAUUCCACUAGACCAAGUCACCAAAAGAAAAAGAGGGUUUGCCUUUGUUGAAUUUGAGGACUACGAUUCUGUUGACAAAGCAUGCCUUCAGAAGUCAGUGAUGGUGUGCAACAGACGUGUUGAAGUCAAGCGAGCGGUUAGCAAAGAUGCGAUGAUUGCCCGUGGCAGCUCUCGGUCCAACGGAGGACCAUGGGAUGGACCCAACCAGAAUUGGGGUAACCAGGGAGGACCAGGAGGUGGUGGACCCUGGGGACCUGGAGGGAACAAUGGACCCAAUGGCGGAAAUCAGGGAGGCCCAUGGAAUGGUCCAAACAACCAAGGUGGUCCCAAUAACUGGGGCGGGCCCAACAACUGGGGUGGCAACCAGAUGGGCCCAAACAACUGGGGAGGCAACCAAGGUGGUCCCAACAACUGGGGUGGCAACCAAGGGGGCCCAAAUAACUGGGGUGGGCCAGGCAACCAGGGUGGACCAAACAACUGGGGCAACAACCAAGGUGGCCCAAACAACUGGGGCAACAACCAAGGUGGCCCAAACAACUGGGGAGGGAAUCAAGGUGGUCCAAAUAACUGGAGUGGGCCAGGGAACCAGUGUGGCCCAAACAACUGGAGUGGGCCCAAUGCCCCAGGGCCAAACAACUGGGGUGGGAAUCAGGGUGGGCCAAACAAUUGGGGCAACAAUGGUGGCCCUAACAAUUGGGGUGGACCAAACAACCAGGGAGGCCCAAAUAACUGGGGAGGUCCUAACAACCAAGGUGGACCUAAUAACUGGGGGAACAAUCAAGGUGGUGCUCCCAACAACUGGGGAGGCCCAAACAACCAAGGAGGCCCAAACAACUGGUCUGGUCCCAAUGCUGGUGGGCCCAAUAAUUGGACCCCAAACCAGGGCCCUAAUGCCCCAACUGGAGGACCCAACAGCUGGUCUGGUAACCAAGGUGGCGCCGGCACCUCUACCAAUGCGGGACCAAACAACUGGGGCAGUAAUUCAGCUGCCUCUGGCAGUGCUCCAGCUACCAACAACUGGUCUGGAAGUUCGGGCAAUGAGGUUGCGACUCCAAACAACUGGACUGCGCAAGGCAGUUCUGCAGGAAGCGGCUGGUCCGGUGGUGCCGCUAAAGGUUCCUCUGGCAGUGCCUCAGCUGCCCCAUAUAAUGCGGGGGGUAAUGAGUGGAACUCUAAGCGGGACUUUGGUAACAACUACGGACAGAGCAGCGGUGGGGGACCUAUGCGUAACCAAGCCACUCAGCGCUCUAACCCAUAUACUGGCGGCAAUGGUGGUGAUGGCACAAUGGCGGCCGCCGGCAGCGGAGGCAGCAAUCGCCGCUAUUAGAGCUGCUGCCGCCCUGGGAGAGCCGCUGUAGGCGGCGGUAUUCAUGUCUGGCCGUUGUCCUUCACGCGGGGCCAUCAGUCUUCAUGCAUGGCCAUCAGUCUUCAUGCGUGGCCAUCGGCCGUCUUGCGUGGCCAUCGUCCUGACGCCACCAGGGCAGUGGCCGCAAGUAUCUCCAGGUUUGAAGUUCUUGGGCCUCUUCACUUUCCAGCCUCGUGUCUCGACUUCUAAACGGGUCAAUGUGGCGGCCACUACUCAGGACGCGUCUCUCGCUCACUUGACCGCGGCCACCAGUGGCGGCCACUACUCGGGACGCGUCUCUUGCUCACUUGACCGCGGCCACCAGUGGCGGCCACUACUCAAGACGUGUCUCUCGCUCACUUGACCUCGGCCACCAGUGGCGGCCACUACUCGGGACGCGUCCUUCACUCACUUGACCGCGGCCAUCAGUGGCGGCCACUACUCGGGACGCGUCCUUCACUCACUUGACCGCGGCCACCAGUGGCGGCCACUAUUCAGGACGUGUCGUUGACUCACUUGACCCCGGCCACCAGUGGCGGCCACUAUUCAAUACGUGUCGUUGACUCACUUGACCCCGGCCACCGGUGGCGGCCACUACUAAGGACGUGUCGUUGACUCACUUGACCCCGGCCACUAAUGACUGCCACUAGGUAUUUGGGACUUGUCCCUCUCUCGCUGGAAAACCUUCUGGAGAGGGUGAAGGCUGGUUAUGAGCUUUGAAUUAGGUAUAUUCUAGCGUUUCUAAUGUCGCUUAAAUCAUGACUAACAACACAUUUUCUGACCACAAAAAUGAAGCUUUACAUAACUUUGUUUUGGUUAUAAAUCCUUCAUAGAAUUUGAAUACCUAUGUAUAUUAUAACAUUGACUUGUGUGUUGUAAUGUACGUUUUUAUGAGUGAAGCUGUGUAUGAGAUGGGUUUUAAGAAGUUAACUAGUCAAUUUCCAUGCUCUUCCUUUUGAAGGAAGAUAUUUUUCAUGGUCAACGUAUUUUCAUAUAGAAUUUCAUUUAUCUUUAAUCGGUGUGGAGUAUAGACAAUCGUUCGUUUGUUUUCUUAUUUUUCGAGUUAUCUCAAUAUUUCAGUGGAUUUUGCGCGUAAGCUCAUGUCUGUCAAUUAUAUAUUGAACCACAACGCACAAUAUUCAUAACAUAGGAACAAAGUAAAAAAAGU
rnacentral:misc_RNA from 1 species